AUUGAACGCUGGCGGCAUGCCUAACACAUGCAAGUCGGGCGAGGGGCGGACGGGUGAGCAAUGUAGGGGAAACUGCCUGAUGGAGGGGGUUAACUACUGGAAACGGUAGCUAAUACCGCAUACCAUCAGAUUAGCCCUGAUGGGAUUAGCCAGUAGUCGGGGUAAUGGCUCACCUAGGCGACGAGCCCUAGUUGGUCUGAGAGGAUGACCAGCCACACUGGAACUGAGACACGGUCCAGACUCCUACGGGAGGCAGCAGUAGGGAAUAUGGCACAAUGGGCGCAAACCAGAUGAAGCAAUGCCGCGUGUGUGAAGAAGGCCUUCGGGUUGAAAAACGCAGUCAGCAAGGAGGCGUUACUCACAGAAGAAGCGACGGCUAACUCCGUGCCAGCAGCCGCGGUAAUAC
rnacentral:rRNA from 1 species